rnacentral:lncRNA from 1 species
GCAUGAACCACAUUAAAAAUUCGUAAGGGUUCCACGGAACCCAGUGUCUCGCCUACUUUUGCUGUUAAUCGCAGACUCAACAAAAAUGAAGAAAAACAUCAAUAAAAAUUUCCCUCUCUAUACUGUCUUUUGAUUGAAAGAAGCUUCCAAGUUUGGUAAAAAAAUCCAGGAUAGUUUAUGAAUCUAAUAAAUGUUUUAUAAACUUUAACUGCAGACUGUAUGUAAUGUUAACUGGAAGAAAAACUAAGUCCAUUU